GACGAACGCUGGCGGCGUGCUUAACACAUGCAAGUCGAGCGGAAAGGCUCCUUCGGGGGUACUCGAGCGGCGAACGGGUGAGUAACACGUGAGUAAUCUGCCCUGCGCUCUGGGAUAGCCACCGGAAACGGUGAUUAAUACCGGAUAUGACCGCUACACGCAUGUGUUGGUGGUGGAAAGUUUUUCGGCGCAGGAUGUGCUCGCGGCCUAUCAGCUUGUUGGUGAGGUAAUGGCUCACCAAGGCUUUGACGGGUAGCCGGCCUGAGAGGGUGACCGGUCACACUGGGACUGAGACACGGCCCAGACUCCUACGGGAGGCAGCAGUGGGGAAUAUUGGACAAUGGGCGGAAGCCUGAUCCAGCAACGCCGCGUGAGGGAUGACGGCCUUCGGGUUGUAAACCUCUUUCAGUACCGACGAAGCGAAAGUGACGGUAGGUACAGAAGAAGGACCGGCCAACUAUGUGCCAGCAGCCGCGGUAACAC
rnacentral:rRNA from 1 species